AGUUGAGGCUGCAGUGGAGUGACUGAAGGCUAGGUCUUCCAGUCUUAGCAGAAGCAGGCCGCCGGGCAGACCUGGAUGGAGAGGGCAUGGGGCCUGCCUGAAUUGCAGUUCUCUGGCUCUGCAGCGUGCCAGACACACAGCAGGUCUCUAGGAAACACUGCAACACUGCUGACACUGAUAUGACCAGAAAAUCCAGCCAUGAAGCCGUGUGUCUGGUGACCGCUAGAGAGAGCUGAAAGGCAAGCAUCUAAAGCCAUUUUGAAGCACAACUUCCUCACCCCUUAGAAGGGAAGAAGCUGCCAAUACCAUGUAUGUACUUGAUGCGAGAAGCUUACCUAAGAAGCGAAUAGGAGAAGACACAUUGUGAAGACAAGUCCAGAAAUACGACCUAAGAAAGGCAAGAAGACUCUUGUCCUACCAUCUACUCAGGAAAGAAGCAAAAUGGAUAGAAUUGUGGUUCUCUGGUACUCUGGCUGAGGAGAGGUUUCUCCUGGUAGACAGUGUUCCUACUGCACAAGAGCCUUGAGUGAAAGAUUCACCACCCUUGCAUAGUGUCUUCACAAUGCACUGAUGUUUGAGGGGUGUUUUUUGAAUUAGCUCAUUUGACAAGCCUAGAAGAAGUAAACAAACGAGCUACCUUU